GAACGCUGGCGGCAUGCCUUACACAUGCAAGUCGAACGGUAACAGGGAGCUUGCUCCGCUGACGAGUGGCGAACGGGUGAGUAAUGUAUCGGAACGUACCAUUCAGUGGGGGAUAACGUAGCGAAAGUUACGCUAAUACCGCAUAUUCUGUGAGCAGGAAAGCAGGGGAUCGCAAGACCUUGCGCUGAUUGAGCGGCCGAUAUCAGAUUAGCUAGUUGGUGAGGUAAAGGCUCACCAAGGCGACGAUCUGUAGCGGGUCUGAGAGGAUGAUCCGCCACACUGGAACUGAGACACGGUCCAGACUCCUACGGGAGGCAGCAGUGGGGAAUUUUGGACAAUGGGCGCAAGCCUGAUCCAGCCAUGCCGCGUGAGUGAAGAAGGCCUUCGGGUUGUAAAGCUCUUUUGUCCGGGAGCAAGUCCUACUGGCUAAUAUCUAGUGGGGAUGAGAGUACUGGAAGAAUAAGCACCGGCUAACUACGUG
rnacentral:rRNA from 1 species